AGGGCAGUGUAGAGGAAAGACAUCAUUCAGGACCCUGGCCAUGGCACUUUAGUGAUCCCUAUUAAUUUAAGAAUCACAUCAGAAGGAAAUCGUGUACUGCAGCAAGAAGGUUCAACUUGGUAUCCACAGUGUUUUGCCUAUGGGUACGAUGCAUGGGUACUAUCAAAGAUUGUCUAGAUGAAAAGCCUGAGGACAGGUACAGCUGGCUCAAUCCUCUUGCCAAUAAUAUUCCACAACCCAGAGAGCAAGAAGACCCAAAUGAAACUGCCUUCAGGAUCCAAAAAGGUAAUUUUCUUGGCCAACAGAGCUGUUGUUAGUGUGAUGGCUGGUGGGGACAAAAUUGACAAACCUCUCUUAAAGGUUGGCAGUGAGUACCACAAAUAUAAAACAAAGAGGACCUGCUAGCCGCAUGGACCAUGUAUAUCCAUGAAUUCUGGGCAGCAUUUUUUGGAUGUGGCAAUUACCAGCACAUUGGCAGACACCAUGACAUCAGAAGAGAUGUCCCUACUGUGAUCAAAGUGGGUCUCACUGCUGCCCAUGGACAGAGAAAAAUACUCAGAACCACUGUUCAAGAAAAAGAGAACUAA
rnacentral:lncRNA from 1 species